rnacentral:lncRNA from 1 species
UCAUUAGUAAAUUUUUUUGUUAAAAUGUCUAAUUUCUUCCUCAGAUUAGAAUACAUUUAUUGGUUUUAAGUAAUGACAAUGGCUUAUGUCUGACAUGAUUAUUGGGGCUAAAUAAGAUAGGAAGUAAACCUCUGUGCUGAUUUAUAUCAAUUCUUUAUAUCUCCUCCAAAGCUGGUCGAAGCAAAGACAAAUUUUGACCAAUAUAAAAAUGAUUUCACCAAAAGAACCUUUGUGAGCAUGCUUCAAAGACUCAUAACUGCUCCAAAAGUAAUCUGAUCGAAUUUGAAGCAUGUCAAGCAGAUAUCAUC